rnacentral:lncRNA from 10 species
CAGAACAGGAUUAUGAACCGACACCAUACAGAGGUAUUUGUAAGAAAGAAGGUGGAUGCCGGAAUCCUUUCUUCAAACAGAAGCUUACCAGUAAGUGCAGACUAAUACAACAGGUAGGUCAAGGCUAAUCCAGUUGGAGGGGGUGCUGGUGGAGGUGGGCACUGAGGGAGGGGGUCAGCACCCUAGCCGUCCAGCCCUCUCCAUCCUCCUGCACCCGCCACACCUGGGUUCUGUGCAGCCUGAUGUGUCCCCACCCCCUCCUAUGCAAUGAAGGAGGGAGACGCAGAGAUGGAGGGCGGCUUCCCCAAGACCACCCAGGGUACUGGUUUGUGGUGGAGCGGGAAGAGGUCACGACGCCUCCUGCCUAGCACUCCCUCUCUUACCCCAGCCCACUGUGUGCUAGCUAUAGGACUGGGUGCAGGGGAAAUAUGAGGAUUCCCUUUAAGGAAUCCCUCUCCACCAGAGGGACAGGUGUGUGCAAAGCUCUCUUUGUUGCAGAGAGAUUGGAACUACAGCAAAGGUAUGAACAGGUGUCACGGGGACACAGAAGAAAGAGCAGUUACUCUUCCGGAAGGUUGGAGAAGAUUUUGUGAAGGUGGGGAUGUUUGAUUUGAACCUUGAAGAACAAGCAGAGACCCAAGAAGUACAGAAGAGGGGAGGUGGAAAUAGCAUGAACGAGGUGGGGCAUGAAUUUCAGAAUACUUGGGAAAAUAAGAAGAUGCUAAAAGUUUCCAGAGAGAAAAAAAUCACCUAUAAAGGAAUGAAAAUCGGAAAGUCACCAGACUUCUCACUAGCAGCAUUGGAUGACAAAAGACAAUGAUGCAAUCUCUUCCAAGUUCUGAGAGAGAGAUUUUCAACUUAGAAUUCAAUACCUAGCUAAACUGUCUACUGGUUAAGAGGGCAAAUCAAAGACACUUUAAGAUACAUGAGGACUGAGGAAGUUUACUUCCUAUAGACUCCUUGUGGUAAUGCUCCUAGAAAAAAAGACAGCAAUAGAGGAUGUGCAGCAGUAAAACAAAGGAGAAACCAAGAAUGAGAAAAGCAUGGAAUUUUUGUCAGCUUAUAAGUUAGCUUGGUAUGUAGUUUUAAUUAAUUUGUUUAUUUAGUGUGUGUUUUCUGUUAUUGGGUUUAGGUAUCAGGGUUAUGCUAGCUUUGUAAGAUGAACUGAGUUUUCUACGUUUUUAUUCUCUGAAAGUGUUUGCACAGGGAAUAAUCUCCUUCUUGAAUGUUUGCAAAAACAAUUGUCCACAUCUUUUUUUAAAAAACACUUUUUGGACAAUAUUUUCUAUUUUCUUUCACCAUUUUGUGCCUUUUGUGGAGGUCAUUCUGCUACCCAAUAUUCAGUCUUCUUCCUUUAUUGAAAAGAAUCCAAUUUUGCCAAGUUCAAAGUUCAAUUUCAUGGACUCCCUUUCAGAGAGUGGGGCAAGUGACACAGUUUUGGCCCAUGAGAUGAAAACACACAUUUACUGAAUAGAGUUUCUGGAAAAGCUAUCAGUUUCCUGAUAAAAAGGGACAGACUUAGCUGUCCCUUUGUCCUCCCUGCCUUGUCUGGAAUGUAGACAGGAUGCCUAGACGUGGAGGAGCAAUCUUAAAAGUGUGAACAAAUUCACUUUCAAUUGAUACAAUCUUUCACGUCAGAGCUGCUUCUUGUAACACAGAAGUUUUCAGAUUCUAUGAAAAGGUAUUGAAUGAAUUGAAGGCUCUGUUAAGGGGGCAACUAUCUCCCCUCCCCAUUCUCCUAUCAGCCCAUAAAACAGGAACUGACAACCUCUUGGAAGAAUUGGGAAGGAACUUUUCGAUUUUCUCUGUACAAUCUUCACUGGUUCCUCUCUGUGAGAGGAGGAGGGACCUCUUGGAUUGGUGUCGUUGGGAAAAGGGUAUCAAGUGUGCAUGGCUCAGCCUGUUCCUGGCUCUCUCUCUGGGACUGACCUGACUGCAAGCAGCAUGUUCUCUGUCUGCUCCUGCCUCCUCCAGGCAAUGAGCACCAGGGCGGGUCCAGCCCUUGCUUGGGAGGACUUCAAUAGUCCAGCUGCUCUGCCGCGAGUGGGUGAGUGAGUUCAAGUCAGAGGAGAAGACACAGAAAGCUCAUUUGGGCCUUGGGUCUUAGCCACAUCCUCCAGUCCAUCUGGACUAGCAAUAAAGCUGACAUUUUAAUCCCUA